rnacentral:rRNA from 1 species
UAGGGAAUAUUGGUAAUGGGCGAAAGCCUGAACCAGCAACGCCGCGUGUGCGAUGAAGGCCUUCGGGUCGUAAAGCACUUUUUGGAGGGAUGAGGAAGGACAGUACCUCCAGAAUAAGCCUCGGCUAACUACGUGCCAUCAGCCGCGGUAACACGUAGGAGGCAAGCGUUAUUUGGAUUUACUGGGCGUAAAGCGCGUGCAGGCGGUUCGGAAAGUUGGAUGUGAAAGCUCCUGGCUUAACAGGGAGAGGUCGUUCAAUACUUCCGGACUUGAGAGUGGGAGAGGGAGGUGGAAUUCCGGGUGUAGUGGUGAAUGCGUAGAUAUCCGGAGGAACACCAGUGGCGAAAGCGGCCUCCUGGCCCAUUUCUGACGCUCAGACGCGAAAGCUAGGGUAGCAAACGG